rnacentral:rRNA from 1 species
UACGUAGGGUGCAAGCGUUGUCCGGAAUUAUUGGGCGUAAAGAGCUCGUAGGUGGUUUGUCGCGUUGUUCGUGAAAUCUCACGGCUUAACUGUGAGCGUGCGGGCGAUACGGGCAGACUAGAGUACUGCAGGGGAGACUGGAAUUCCUGGUGUAGCGGUGGAAUGCGCAGAUAUCAGGAGGAACACCGGUGGCGAAGGCGGGUCUCUGGUCAGUAACUGACGCUGAGGAGCGAAAGCGUGGGGAGCGAACAGG